rnacentral:rRNA from 1 species
UACGUAGGGUGCAAGCGUUGUCCGGAAUUAUUGGGCGUAAAGGGCUCGUAGGCGGUCCAUCACGUCGGGAGUGAAAAGCUGGGGCUUAACCCCAGUCCUGCUUCCGAUACGGGUGGACUAGAGGUAGGCAGGGGAGAACGGAGUUCCUGGUGUAGCGGUGAAAUGCGCAGAUAUCAGGAGGAACACCGAUGGCGAAGGCAGGUCUCUGGGCCACUACUGACGCUGAGAAGCGAAAGCAUGGGGAGCGAACAGG